rnacentral:rRNA from 1 species
UACGAAGGGGGCAAGCGUUGUCCGGAAUUAUUGGGCGUAAAGAGCGUGUAGGCGGUCCGGUAAGUCAGCUGUGAAAGUCAAGGGCUCAACCCUUGAAUGCCGGUUGAUACUGUCGGGCUAGAGUCCGGAAGAGGCGAGUGGAAUUCCCGGUGUAGCGGUGAAAUGCGCAGAUAUCGGGAGGAACACCAAUGGCGAAGGCAGCUCGCUGGGACGGUACUGACGCUGAGACGCGAAAGCGUGGGGAGCAAACAGG